AAAAAAGCUAGAUUUUAUUAAAAAAUUGUGUACAUGAAUCAAAGAAUACUAUCAAGUGAUUGAAAAAAGUGACAUACAAAACUGAAGAAAGUAUUUUCAAAUUAUAUUUGAUAAUGAUCUGGUCCAGAAUACUUAAAGCAUACUUAUAACUCAACCACAAAAAAAAUCCAACUCAUAAAAAAGGUCAAAGUACUUGAGUAAGCAUUUCUACCCAAAGAUAUUCUGCAAAGAAGAUAAGUUCUGUAAACAGCAAGAUGAGCUCAGGAAAACAUGCUCAUCAUGGUCAGUCAUUAGGAGAAUGACCAUGAAAAUGACAGCAACCUGACCUAAGUCAGCAAGAUGGUGGCAAGAUAAGAAGUCCUGGCUCUGUUCACCCACAGAAGCCGGGACCUUAGCUAACCACCAUCCACCAACAAAACUACAUUCACACUCUGGGGUGAAGGUGUGAAGUCCCAGCACAAGCACCCCGUGGAGUAAAAAACCCAAGAACAACCACACUGAAAAGGGUGAGAAGAACAGCUUCACUUAACUCAGCAUCAGCCCUCCCACCCAAUGGCCCAGCUCUGCACAGGGAAACUCCUUUCACCUGCAGUUUCUCCUGUGGGGGUGCAGAGAAUGGGAUCCUCCUUCCCAACAGCAUUUCCAUCAUUGCCCCAAGGGCCAGCCUCUGUCUGGCUGAGGGGCUGCAGGCUGGAUCCUCUGGGGGCAGCUGAGAAUGAGGAAAUGGGCAGGUUUCAGGGUUAUUGAUGUGUAGGUCUCAACAGCCAGCCCACCUGUGAACCCUGCAGCUGGCGGUGAGUUCCUCAAAAAUUGAAAAUAGAACUUUAUGUAUUUAAUUAUAUGUUAUUGUCUGUGCUAUUACAGUUGUCUCAAGUUUAUUUCUUUGCCCCCUUCCCCCCAGCACCACCACAGUCCCUCAGGCAGUCCCCACACCAUUGUUCAUGUCCAUGGUUUAUGCAUCUAUGUUCUUUGGCAACUCUGUUCCCUAGGCUGGAGUGACAUCCCCAUGACUAUUCUGUACCUACCAGUGUGUACAUCAUAGAACUUUCAUAGGAUCCAGCACUUUCACUGUGAGUGUCUGUUCAGAGGACAUGGAAUCAGGAUGUCAAAGAGAUAUCGGCACUCCCAGGUUCACUGCAUGGUUAUUCACGACAGCAAAGACAUGGAAACCACCUCAGUUUUUCACCAGCGGAGGAUGGAUGAAGCAGCUGUGGAGUAAGGAUACACAAUGGAAUACUCUUCAGCCAUAAAAAGCGUGAAGUGCUGCCGUUUGAGACAACACCGAGGCACCAGGAGGACAUUAUGCUGAGUAACCUGAUCCAGACACAGUGAGGCUGCAGUAAAUGUGCAGAAUUAACAUCCAUGCAGCACCGAAGCCCUGAGGUGAGGAGAUCUGCAAACAGUGUGAAUGUUCUCCUUUCCCUGGAACACAAGUAAGGGCUCACAGUCCACCACGCUGAAUACAACACAACUGUGUUGAUGGAGCAUAAUUUAUAGGAAGAGGAAGCCCCAAAUAUGGAGCACAGCCUGGAAGACAUAUUUAGGCAGAACAGUGUUUUUUGUAUCACUUGAAGUCAGGCUCCAUGGUCCAGUGAAGUGCAGGAUCACCUGUCGGUUACAGGACUGACUUGGAGUGAAAGAGAAGUUCUGAGUGACUCCCCCCAGAGCAGGGCAACCAGAUGCCCCAAAAGUGUGUAGAAAGAAAACCCUUUAAAAUGGUCCAUGGGGAGCGGACCACACUGACAAGGGCAAGUUUAUUACCAGCUGCAUGGAGACAGAGUCUUGCUUACCCCUCCACCAUCUCUUUUAAGUCAUGAUGAUACUUCAUUUUGACCCCAUUUCACUUUGCUUUUUUUGUUUUUUGGUUUAUUUGCCUAUAUUCUAGAAAACGUAUUUGGAGUCUGUAACUGUUUUUGGAAGAUGUUGGUAAUCUUAACAUCUUUUCCCAUCCUUUGUUGUAAGAGAGCACUUGAACAAACCCACCGAGUGCAUCCUGUCCAGGAACAACAGUGCGUGUACUGGGGGCUGACCAGAGCCCUGAGCUUAGGACCAAGCAUCCCACGACCUAGAAACUCAUCCCAGCUUGGGUGACAGGCCCUGCUCGGCUGUGUGUUGUAUGAAACUUGAGGAAAGUGCACACAAUUCUGGGACUUGAGUAAUUUCAUCAUCACAGGCAGUUAUGGAAACUUAUUGUCCCUGACAGUGUGCACUCCAGUACCUUGUCAAUGACAAGUGACAUUUUUGAAAACGGCAGUGUCCCUUAUAAGGUCACCGCGGUUUGCUCUCUGCAUGCUCACACAGGAAAGCCCACAGAGACAACUGCCCGCAAACCCCACUGUUGUUAUUCUAACGUUCAUACCAUGGAAAAGGUGAAUGUGCUGUUUCCUGGACAUGAGUGCAGGCUUGGGGGUGGGGGUGAGUAUGUCUGGGUUUCUUUCUGUGUUUGUGAGCAUGGGUAUGUGUGGAAUCAGUGUGUGAGUCCAAAGACAACCAGGCAAACGAUUGUGGGAAAGCAGGACUCUCUGUCCAGGGGACAACGUGGUUAGGGAGACCUUGAUGCUUUAGGACAUGAAGCCUGGAAAAUGGCCAUUGCUGUGAGACACCGUCACCCCCUUCUCUCACCCAGAUCCUGGCAUCCAGGGCUGCAGUGGGUGGGAGACUGGGAAUGAACUCCAUUCAAUGCCUUGAAAACACAGUGUUACUGGGGUAAAAAUAUGGGGUACCCUGGUUCCACCUCCACCUGGCUCCAGUGCAGGGAACCCCCCGCAGCUUCAUUCCUUUAAAGAGCAGGUUGGUCCUGGAUGGGUGGGAUGCCCCUCACAAAGCCAUGUCUUCCCUCCUCAUACCUCCUUGAUAUCUGGCCCCUGGGCAGGUGUCUGGCGGGUUGCAAACACGUUGGAAGGCAUUAGCUUCAAUAACUUUUUAAGAAUAGGCCCUGGCUGGUGUGGCUCAGUGGACUAAGUACUGGCCUGGGAACUAAAGGGUCACGGUUUGAUUCCCAGUCAGGGCACAUGCCUAAGUUGUGGAACAAAUCUCUGGUGGGGGGUGGGCAAGAAACAGGCACACACUGAUGCUUCUCUCCCUCUCUUUUUCCCUCUCUUUCCCUCUCCCUAAAAAUAAAUCAAUAAAAAAAAUCUUUAGCCCUGGCUGGUGUAGCUCAGUGAAUUGAAUGCAGACCUGUGAACCAAGGGAUUACAGUUCAAUUCCCAGUCAGGGCACAUGCCUGUGCUGUGGACCAGUUCCCAGCAGGGGAUGCAUGAGAGGAAACCACACAUUUAUGUUUCUCUUCCUCUCUCCUUUCCUUCCCUUCCCCCUCUAAAGAUUAAUAAAUAAAAUCUUUUAAAAAUAAUAGUUAAUGAGCAAUAUAUUCAUUUUAGAUGUAAGUGCAGCUCAACACGGCAGGAUUGGAGGUAAAGAAGAAAGGUUAAUGGAGUGAGGCAGGUGUGAAGUCAGUUGUGUUCCCCAGAGCCCCCCAGCUGGCCCAGCACCACUGCACUGUGAGGGUCUCUGAUGUGAUCACGUGACCCUGCACUGUGGUCCGAGUCUGAUUCUUCCUUCACUGGAUAAGGUAUCUCUGCUUUUCAGGUUCUCAAAUGCCCAACAUCUCCAUGUCAAUCUAAACAGCUGGUUUCCUCUCCCCAUAUCUCAGGCAGGAUGAAUUCUGAUCAUGUUUGUGGGGUGGGGUUGGUGCCAUGGGGUCUAAAUAUGGAAAAUGAGAGCAACUGCCCAGAGGAAGCAGGCUUCUCAAGGGUCCUUCAGCCAUUCAGGAUGUAGUAUUGCAACAACUGGUAUUUAAGGUGUUUGUGUAUGAGCAUGUGUGUGUGUCUUUAGUGCCUUCUAAUAAAAACACUCAUGAAUGUCAUUCUUGUCUGAAUACCAAUGACUCUCCAGAAGUUGAAGAGGAGACUGAACCCCAGCAUCAGAGGUGCUCUGAAGAAGGAGAAAUGACCCAAAUGAUUCACCCCAAGGAGAGGGAGAGAGAAAGAGCUUACGUCUCACAGAGACAGAGUCACGCCUCAUGUCUUGCACACCUACAGAGCAGAAGCACUCAGAGUGGACAGCAUGAUCUCCAUCCUCCCUGCUCUUCUCUGCUUUGGUCAGUAGUGGGGACAUGGGGAUAGGGCAGCAAGAGGGACUGGGGAGGUUAUGCCACCUUGCUUGUGGAGAACCUCAGCUUCAGGAAGUUUCAGACUCACUUUCAGGGCUGAGUGUGGGUCAAAGGAGAUGGCAGGAGAAUCUGUCCCCAAGCUCCAUGCCCCAUUCCUACUUCAGGCCCUGGGGCUGAGGACUCUUCCUCCACUCAGUGUGUAUUUUCUCUCCCUUCCAUGGCUCCCUUCAUACUCAGCCCUGUGACAUGAGGGUCCAUCCCACAUGGCACUCUGUGUCCACACAUCUAAAAUCUUCUGCCCCCCUCCAACUUUGCCUAAUACAAUUUUUUAAAAUUUCUAACAACCACAUUAUCAGAUGAACAUUAUUGAACCCUCAACAAUUCAGUUCACAGGACUUUACAUAAAUCCAGUCACUGAAUAAGUGGGGGAAACAAGACACACAUGGAGAAAGUAGACCUACUGGGCUCUCUGGACCCCACAAUUCUUUCUCUCCUCCCCAGGUGCCACCAGCCUCAUUUUUGCAGAAAACCCACUGCUUGGGAUCAACCCACUGGCAUUUGAAGGGGCAGCUUAGAGGAGUGCUGCCUCGGGGAAAAACACUUCCAGAACACUCUCAUGGGGGGUGUUUGGGAAUGUCUGAGUGUGUGUGGAAUGAAAUGUGACUCAGCCACAAGAGAAAAGGAAAUCCUGCCCUUCCUGAGAACACUGAUGGAACCUGAGGGCACUGUGCUAAGUGAGAUCAAUCGGGCAGAUAAAGAGGGAGACUGAAUCAUCUCAUGGACAUGUGGAAUCUAAAGAGUCCACACAUGUAGAAACAGAGGGUGGAAUGGCGGUGACCAUGGGGAGUUGGUCGAAGAGCAUCGACAUUCAGUUAUGAGAUUAGUACGUCCUGGGGUCUCAUGUACAUCCUGGUGAACACAGUUAACAAGACUGUGUUAUGUACUUGGAAGUUGCUAAGAGAAUGUAUCUUCAAUGUUCUCAUCACAAGAAAGUGACAAUUAUGUGACUUUUUGCUCAUACCUCUUUUUUAUCUUUUAUUGUUAUUCUGUUAGAGUUGUCCCAAUUUUCCCCCCUUUGCCCUUCUCCUCUCAUGCCAACACCCUCCCAUUAAAGCUAUGAAGGUAUCGUAUUACAAUAUUUAAAUGUAUCAAAUCAACACAUUGUUACCUAACAUUUUUGUCAAUUAUAUGUCAGUAAAGCUGGAAAGAAUUAUCCUCAGGCUUUAUGUAAAAACAACUUACCUAAAAAGCUGGACAAGUAAUGGGGCUGACCAUAACAAAUAUUGGAAAGUUUAGAAUGUAUCUACAUAUGUUCCCAUUUAUCUACUAUUUACUAUAUAAUAUUUAUCUAAAUAUAAUAUAAACAUUCUAUAUUACAUAUAAUAUUUUGUAUAAUAUAAAUUACAUGACUUUUCAUAUAUAAUGCAUAAGACAAUCAUAUAUUAUGUUUAUUGUAUAUAAUGUGUAAUAUAAUAAACAUUACAUGUUAUACAUUUCUAUUA